AGGGUGCAGGACUUUUCGGCACCAAGACGUUUCGGCACUUUAUUAUUAAGACGUUUCGGCACCAAGAUGUUUCGGUACCACGACGUUUCGGCACUUACUUUAAGAUGUUUCGGCACCAACAAUUAUUUUUUAUUUGGCACUGAUUUAUAAUUGAUUUGAUAAUACAUUAUUUGAUUUUAAUCUGAAUUUUAUAUUAUACAUUAAUUUGCUAUUAUAUACAAACUUCGGAUAAUUGAAAAUCUUUUUCGGGGGGGGGGGGGGGGGUGUAUAACAAAGCAAUUUAAAUGGGCCCUCCGUUGAAUGUGUAAAUUGUAAAAACAACAACACCCAUAUCCUUCUCCCUAUUCCGUGACUAGGUGCUAAUUAGGAGGAGAUAAUGAAGAGUCCCCUGGUACACAAUGAGGGCUUCACAUCUCAUUUCUGAAGAGAAAACCAACGAUGUCAGGUCAGUAUGAAUUAAAUUAGAUGCAUAUAUAUUUUAAAUUAGAUAAAAAAGAUAUAGUAUAUCUUAUUUUUAUGUCCCACUCGAUGGUUGGAUUGUUAUAUAUUAUACCAGCUUUGUUUGAAGCAUUUUAACUAACGAACAUUGACAAAAAUAUGAUGGGUAAAUCAUCAUUAAUUUCAAUUUCAGAUAAAUUUUGUUGUACAGUGUAUAUUUAGUUGUAUGUCACAUGUGAACAUACAUGCAGCACAUUGUUCCUUAUUUCUAAGAUAUAUUUUAGAUCUUUAGAUCUCUUAGUUUUUUUUUAAUUGUGUUAAUUUUUGGUAAAAAAAAUAAAUCAAAAACCCAAACAUUUUCUCUGAUCUAUAGACAUUCCAUAACUUAAUUGUUGAUGGUAAAAAGAUAUAGCCUGCAACUGUUCUAGUGAUUUAUAUAUGAAACACACCCAUUCUCUGUCACCCAUAAUAAAUGCAUUUCAUGUUUCUAUUUGGUGAAAGAAUAUAGUAGUCUAAUGUUACCCUUCUUUCAUAUAGGUAAAUAAUCCUAAAUAACAGAAAAAUAGAGGUGACAUAGUUACUAUAGCAAAAGGCAUUUCAAAACGAAAAUUAUUAUGCCGCAAUUUAAGAACUUUGAAUGGAAACAGAGUCUUGGAGUAUAUAUUCCAUGUAGCUGGAAAACUACUCCUUGGACGGAGAAAAAAAUAUUUCUGGCAUGGUAUUCUAUUGUUACGCUUAAAUGUCAUAUAUCAAAUAUUAAUAUUGAUUACGUUUUCUACAUUUGUAAUAAUAAUAGCAAUUCUGAUAUAUUUUUUUCAAUAAGUAAUUUAAAUAUAUCACUAUUUGCAUUAUAAUAUGUCCAUUGUUUAACAAAAUGGGGGCAGCUCUUACCCCCAUCCCUCGAUUCUACAUGCUUGAUAUUUUAUAGAGUCGCAAAUAAAAAGUAACAAGUUCUCCUUCCAGAGUUGCAUCUUACGUUAAAUUGCAGAUGCUAUGUACGUUAUCAACAUAAAUAUGUAAUUCUUCUAUACAAAUGAUCUAUUAUAAAUAAAACUUUUAUUACAUCUUAUAGAACCACAUGUACUGAUUCUGAGCAACGUCGUAUCGAAUUGGAAAACCGCUAUAAAACAUUUCAUAUUCCUUAUGUUAUGCGUUAUUCUUUUUAAAAGGUACUUACAAUGUAGCUUUAUAGAAAAAUAAUAAUACUGUAUCAAAUACUAUGGAUAGUUGAUAUAGAUGUCGGGAUUUCACAUGCAUACAAUAAAAUUAUCGGCUAGUUAAAAUGUAAGUUAUUAUUACAAUUAUUUGUGCAUUGAUUUUUUUUUAUUCUCACAGACAAAUGCAUUGCAUGCAAUUAGAGUGUUCGCCCCAGACAAGAGGCCAUCCAGUGUGAAGGAUGUGAACUAUGGCAACACAGAGCAUGUAAUACUGGAAUCAGCCGUGACCAGUAUAGACGAAUAGGGAAACUGCAAGAAGACCUCCAGUGGGUUUGCGCCCGGUGCUUGGAAAAUCCUACUGAUACAGAAGAGUUUGUAGCUGCAGCUGAUGCCACAUUUCACGUGUCAAUAGCCUCCCUUGGUUCAUCAGUUGCUGAACCCGAUGAUGAAGAUGAACAGGAGGAUGAAUCUACAGGAGAACAAACAAUGAUCUAGAAGGUUGGCACAACCAAAUCAACUCUAGAAUGAACUCCAGAGGACGAGUCCCAUUUUACCUCCUAUUACAAGAACUGUACACAGGGUCACUGCCAUCCCCAUGCAGGCCAGGCUGCUGACAGAAGGGAAGAUGGAGAGACUACACAGGAAACAGUCCUCCAGACUCAACGGUAAACUAUUCCAACUUUGGGAGGAAUACAAUGCCAGACAGAUCAGCACCACCCAGCUGCUGAGAAAGUGCUCGUAGUUAUAUGGACCUGUUGACAUUUGAUGUUAAUUUCUGUUCUGUUGUGUUAAGUGUUACUUCAGCGGUGUUGGGGAAAAUGUUUGACUGUAUAAUUCAUUUAUUUAUUUGAGUGAUUGAAAACUGUAUGAUGGUAAAUGUUUGUUUGACAUAAGUACUGCUAAAUAAAACACAUUUAAAAAUGCU